GCCUGGGUGGCUCAGUCGGUUGAGCGUCCGACUUCAGUUCAGGUCACGAUCUCACAGUUUGUGAGUUCGAGCCCCGCGUCAGGCU
rnacentral:tRNA from 1 species